rnacentral:rRNA from 1 species
AUUGAACGCUGGCGGAAUGCUUUACACAUGCAAGUCGAACGGCAGCACGGACUUCGGUCUGGUGGCGAGUGGCGAACGGGUGAGUAAUACAUCGGAACGUGCCCAGUCGUGGGGGAUAACGUAGCGAAAGCUACGCUAAUACCGCAUACGAUCUAAGGAUGAAAGCGGGGGACCGUAAGGCCUCGCGCGAUUGGAGCGGCCGAUGGCAGAUUAGGUAGUUGGUGGGGUAAAGGCUCACCAAGCCGACGAUCUGUAGCUGGUCUGAGAGGACGACCAGCCACACUGGGACUGAGACACGGCCCAGACUCCUACGGGAGGCAGCAGUGGGGAAUUUUGGACAAUGGGCGCAAGCCUGAUCCAGCCAUUCCGCGUGCAGGAUGAAGGCCCUCGGGUUGUAAACUGCUUUUGUACGGAACGAAAAGGCUCUGGUUAAUACCUGGGGCUCAUGACGGUACCGUAAGAAUAAGCACCGGCUAACUACGUGCCAGCCGCCGCCGUAA